rnacentral:rRNA from 1 species
AGGCAGCAGUGGGGAAUAUUGGACAAUGGGCGAAAGCCUGAUCCAGCAAUGCCGCGUGAGUGAUGAAGGCCUUAGGGUUGUAAAGCUCUUUUACCAGGGAUGAUAAUGACAGUACCUGGAGAAUAAGCUCCGGCUAACUCCGUGCCAGCAGCCGCGGUAAUACGGAGGGAGCUAGCGUUGUUCGGAAUUACUGGGCGUAAAGAGUACGUAGGCGGUUAUUCAAGUCAGAGGUGAAAGCCUGGAGCUCAACUCCAGAACUGCCUUUGAAACUAGAUAGCUAGAAUCUUGGAGAGGUGAGUGGAAUUCCGAGUGUAGAGGUGAAAUUCGUAGAUAUUCGGAAGAACACCAGUGGCGAAGGCGACUCACUGGACAAGUAUUGACGCUGAGGUACGAAAGCGUGGGGAGCAAACAGGAUUAGAUACCCUGGUAGUCCACGCCGUAAACGAUGAUAACUAGCUGUUCGGGCUCUACGAGCUUGAGUGGCNCAGCUAACGCAUUAAGUUAUCCGCCUGGGGAGUACGGUCGCAAGAUUAAAACUC